rnacentral:rRNA from 1 species
UACGUAGGGUGCGAGCGUUAAUCGGAAUUACUGGGCGUAAAGCGUGCGCAGGCGGUCUGUUAAGACCGAUGUGAAAUCCCCGGGCUUAACCUGGGAACUGCAUUGGUGACUGGCAGGCUUUGAGUGUGGCAGAGGGAGGUAGAAUUCCACGUGUAGCAGUGAAAUGCGUAGAGAUGUGGAGGAAUACCGAUGGCGAAGGCAGCCUCCUGGGCCAACACUGACGCUCAUGCACGAAAGCGUGGGGAGCAAACAGGAUUAGAACCUAC